rnacentral:lncRNA from 1 species
AAGAUUCGAUACGAAUUAUUUUAUAGAAUUUCUCACAACUGAUCGAUCCCUAGCUAUCACAAAUUAUAUUUUCUAAAUAUACAUUCAAGAAUCGGUCCAUCUGAUAUUUUUAUAGAACUCUUUUGCAAUUAUUAUUUGUUAUAAACAAGAAGUACCAUUUAAACCCAAAAAAAAAAAAAAGUAGUACCACCUAAAUAUAUAAACACAUCAAUAUAUUGAUAUUACAUUACAUAUAUUAUUACACACCACAGACGAAAAUCACACGAACAAAAGCAAAUUCGACUACUCUACAGCUCAUAAUUAAAUUAUAAUCCUUAAGUGCUUAUGGUCAAGCUACAUUGUAUAUGAUCGCUACAUCUUUUAAUCUCAUUUUCUAUUGUUUUUUUUUCCUCGACUUUUUCAUCAUUCUUAUAUACAACAAAACGCAAACAUACUAAUUUAACCCAUAAGGAAAAGUUAUUAUUAUACAGAGAUCAUUCAUGCAUGAUUGAUUUAUAUACGAAUUGGUUUCUUGGAUGCGACUAAGCCGCUUUUCGCUUUUCUCUCGUCCAGCUUAAUUUGCUUCUCUCUGCACUCCAAGCUACAAAAUGCGUUGUUCCCUCUACAAAAACGAUACAGUAUAUAACAUUUUUAUUAAUAUACAAAAACAUGUUCAUUGAACCAUAUAACGGUAAAUUGAGUUGAUGAAAGGGUUUGUGAAACUAAUUAAUAAAGAAAAAAAAAUACAUAAAAGGUUAAAAACGUAUUCGUAUUCGUACCUAUACAUGUAAAUGUCACGAUGAUGGCAGAGACUUCGAUUGCAGAGGCUACAAGUCUUCAAGAAAUCAUCGUAGUUAGUAGCCAUCACCACCUUCGUCGGAGUAUGAUGAUGUUGAUGAAAGGUUAGAUGAUCGGACGGCUGAGAUGCAUCAUAGAUCGUGGGUGUAUCGAGUGUGAUCAUAUUCAUGCUUGUUGUUCUCUUGAUCAGAGAUCCAUGACGCUUUCCUAACACCAUCCUUUCUCUCUCUAUAUAUAUAUAUAUCUCUCUCUCGAAGAAGAAGAAGAAGUGUGAAGUGAAAGAGGGAGAUAAAGCAAAGGGGGAGGAAGAAGAGAAGAAAAACACAAGCUAUUUAAAAGAAAAGCAAUGGAAGAAUCUAAUAAUAGAGAGAUAAUAUUGUUUUAUUACUAUAACAUUCUUUUACUUAGCAAUUAUCAUUAUUUUCUUUUCUUAUAUAGGUAUAACUAGGUUCGGACCCGCGCUACAGCGCGGUGGAAAAUUACCGGGCUUUUAGUCAUUUGUACGUUGCAAGAUAAUUUAUUUGUGUUUACUUUACUUUAUUUUGAUUAUUAAUUAAAUUCUAUCAUUUUAGAUUGUAUUUUUGUGUUGGUUUCGAAUAUGUUCAAAAUUAUUUAAAUUGUAUGAUUUUAGUUGGAUUGUUAAUUUUAGAACAAUAUGUGACAUAUAUACAUGUAUAAAUAUUAUACUAUGAAUCAUUUUUAAAAUUUAGGGAUUGACCCGCGGUAUACCGCAUAAUCAUAAAUACAUGAUUUUAACUUGGACCUUUCAUGCAGUUUUGUAAAGUUGCAAAUCUCUAGAAUAAACAAAUAAAGAGCCAAUGAUUUCUUAUUUCUUAUCGUGUUAAAAUGUAAAAUCUGUGUUUAUGUUACAAUUUCUGGUAGCAGAAACUUAUUUAUAUAGAUAAUAUUUUCUUAGAGUUAGGUUAGCGUUGAAGAAAAUAUUAGCUUUAUAAUCAAGCCAGAAAUUCGAAACUAUUGNNNNNNNNNNNNNNNNNNNNNNNNNNNNNNNNNNNNNNNNNNNNNNNNNNNNNNNNNNNNNNNNNNNNNNNNNNNNNNNNNNNNNNNNNNNNNNNNNNNNAUAAGAUAUUUAAGGAAGAUUUUGUUUUAAAAUAUUAUGGAUAAUUUGAUAAUUAUUUUAUAUUUAAUUUAUAUUUCUGAUUUUUAGGUUAAUUUGUUAAACCAAUAUACAAAAUCAUACAUUAAUGUAUUUUUCCUUAAACAAAUUAAGAUUAAUGUACUUUCCAAAACCAAUAUUGAUGGAUUAAUUUGGUAGAUUUCGAAAUAAUAUAUAUGGAAACUGGUAUUUAAUAUCUUUAAAUUUUUAGUAAAAUCCAAUUGAAAAAUUUCGGGUUAAUUUUUUUAAAAAACCCGACCCAAGAAGCUUUUGUACUUCUCUUUUACUAUAGUAGGGAUCAUCAUCAUAUUGGUGUAACCGUGUAAGUAAUGAAACUUGAUAAGAAAUUAAAAUUAAAGAGUUAAGACGAUCAAUUAAUUAGAGAUUACGUAACAAAGUUCGAUUUUCAUACCCAUUGUUGCCUUUAUUCAAUCAAUACCCAAAGUUAUCGUUUUAAUUAUAUAUUGCUUUCAAUCUAUAAAUGAAUUAGAAGAAAUAAUGUAAUUAUCUGAAGGAUGGAUACAGUUUGCAAAUGUUUUUGUAAUCGAAGAUUGCAUUUUUAAUUUCGUAUUUUUUCUAGCUCGAUGAUAUCAUCAUAAGCAAUACGAACGAACAGGAGAAAAGCUAUUGUGGGCACAUAAAAUGGAUGAAUGCGUCACCAAAAUGUCCAAAAACGUUUCGACACAUAAGCCUCCCUUCAUAUAUUAUAUAGCUGCACUGUCUUGUCUCUCACUAUAUAUUUCUCUAAAUACCAUUAUUUUCCUCGUUGCUUCUCACCUUUUUAUUUUUGUUUUUAGUGAAAGCAGCAGCAACUUCGUUGUUCCAAAGUAAGUAAAGGUUUCUCUCGACUUCGAGAACACUAUUAGUAAAGAAAGUUAAAAACUCCAUAGAUACUAAAAUGUUAUUAAACUGAUCCUGAUGUACAUAAUUGAGUACAAUUAUAAAAGUUAUAAUCAUUGUUUUUCACACAGCCCCACAAAUGUAAGAACUUUUUGUUACAUUCAACGUUGUAAUUGCUAUAUUUCUAAUAUGGGUGAAGAAUCAGUGAAUGGUACAUGAGGUAAGAAAUAAAGGAAAAAAAAAAAACCAAUAUUGUGAGAGCACAAAAGGACAAAGGUAUCAACAAUGGAACCCAUCAAAGGACCUAACCAAUUAUUUCCAUAAAUCUCUGGUCCAUUAAACCAAAAAGCAAAACAAGUGUAUGGUUCUGUACCAAUAGAUUCCCUUUUUAUUCAUAUUUUUAGUUGUUUUAUUUAUUUAUAUUUUUUUAAUAAGUAAUUGAUGUUUCCUACCAACUUGAAAGAAAAAGCCUAGACAAGUGUAUGGUUUAUUAAAACCAAAAAAAAAAAAAAAAAGUGUCUGGUUUAUGUAGUACUUUAGUUUUCACUUUCUAUCAUUUUAAGAGAAUUCCACUUAACGUAUACAGUUCCCUGACAUAAUGUAAGGUAUUAACAUUUUAGUACUCUGAAACGUAGUCAUGAAAAAUCAUACCAAUUAGACACUUAACUUACGCAAGUGAUCAAAUUCACUUCACUAAGACAAGAGCCUGAAACCAACUUGCUUCUUUUACACAAAAAAUCAAAGCUUUCAAAAUAGUAAUAAUCAUCAAAAACCUAGUUGUAGAUAAAGCUAACACAAGAGUUUCUCUUUUUAACUGUACCUCGAAACAUGAGCUAGCUAGAGGGACUGGAGACUUCUUAAAUCAUACUAUGUUUAGUUUCAGUAAUGAAAACAUUUAUGUAAACAGCAUAUGAUUGAUUAACUCGAUAUCAAAACAUGACUCAUUUGGUAUCUUGUAAUUUGACUCACCGGAUCAGAGACGAAGCUUCGUCUGUACUCUGAACUCAGGAAGUAAAGCGGAGUGGUCAAAGCGUUUUGGUCAAGUAAAGCGGGAUUACUUAUUUGGGCCUUUGUUUACAAUGUAAAUUUUGACCCAUUUAAGUAAGACUACACUUAAACUUUUCGGGUCCAAAAUCAGCGGAGUUUUGGAAAAGCCUAACAUGGACGCCGUCAACCCAACGAAAAGUGCCGAUUUAGUUUAGUUACCAACCAUUCCUCCUAACUGACUUUUGAAGACUGAACCUAAACCGUUACGUUUUGUUGAAGUAUGUGUCUAAAUCGAUGAAAAGAUGGUAUAUGCAGCAGCAGUACUGACUACUGAGUAAAUGUAGUAUUAUUAUUUUAACAACAACAAAAAAAAACACUUAAUGCCUAAUUGCCUACUAAGCUUGGAGAGGAGACUAGUUGAUGAUACCAAACAGUUUUUGAUCAAAACCAUUAUGGGGCGAAAUCGUUGGUAUUGUUAUAGAUCGACCGUUGACAAGUUAAAUAACAAUAUAACAUGCACACCUAUAAAAAUGGUCAAUGACUUAAGGUCGCUCGAAGUUCCAAUAAAAGUUUUUUUUUUCUUUUAAUCUCUCUGCUCUUUUAGAAAAAAAAGAGCAAAUACUUCAAGAAUAUACGCAAAAAAGAGCAAAUACUUCAAGAAUACUUCAAAAUCUUAAUGAUGUUUACUUCUUUCCAUACUCGGUAUAUUUGUAGAACUUGUAUGUUGAUGUUUAAGAUGACCUUUUUUUACGACUCAUUUUUGUUCUUAUUAUAGUUCGAUGAUAUUCAUACUAUAUGUUAUUGAAAUUUAUCCCAACAUUAUGCAUAAUCAGUAUGAGCGGACCGGACGACAUGUUUUUUUGAAAUAUUUGAACUCAAAUCUAGUCUUCAUCCAUUGUAGAGAAAGUUUGAACCCGACCCUCUUAAUAAAUAUAAUUGAUAUCCUUAAAAUAAACCGUACCCGGUUCCAUAUGAUCAGUGUAUCCGAAUUAAUUUCAUAAAAUCAAAACCGACGAGAUCGAUCACUUUAAAAAACCACAGAAGAAACAACAAUAGAGAGAGAGAGAAAAAAUAGCUUAAAACCAAAUUUCGUUAGGUGGGGAUGAUGAUCGGUCUCAAACCGGUCUAACCGACCGGGUUAAGGUUAAUAAUCCCCUCUUUAUUUUAACAACGCGACCACAAAAACAAAAGAGAUUACUAGGCUACACGACUCUUCGCCGCUUUCAAAACACAAACCGUUUCCACUUAUUAUUUUUUGCUCUCUCGUUUAAACAAACAAAAACAAACAAAAACAAAAAAAAGGGGGAAGAAAAAAAAGUAGGUGCAAUUACUGAUCUUGAAUGUAUUGUGUACUGUUUGUUUUGUAAAUUCUCUUCAAUUUUUUUUGUUGAUUAAGUACCUUCCAAAGGUUUAUAGUUUUUUUUGAAGGUUGAUUCCAGUGGUUGAUAAUUUAUCUCAUUGAUACUUGCCACACAUGCCACCUUACUUAUCCAACCGGAUAUCGAUUUCCAGCCUUUCAACCCUUUAAAUCGUAAUUGGUGUGUGCAUAUGACACCAUAUGAGAUAAAUAUGUCUAGAUUAGUGAGUUGACUUUUUGUUGCUCCUCAAGAUGUUGUGCCUCAGUCUACGGUGACCUUCUGUUUGUCGCAGUGGCCUAGAGGGUUAAUUUAGUAGAAAUUGAUCGAUUGCCGGUUUAUACCGAUAGGUUGAAACAAGUAGUCUACAACCAUUUGAUUUGUUGAUUGAAUUUGAUAAGUCUUCUAUUUUUGGUUGUGGAUAUUCCUAACCAUAUGAUCUUUUGACGUUCUUCCAUUUAGGAUAAACCUCAACUACAUCUUUAUUAAAACAUUUCGAAUGUGAUUACAAUUAAUGAAUUAGUGAGAGUGUGUUUCUUAUAUAAAACUUACAGAAAUGAACAACGGGAUAAGCAAAAUAUGUCUUCUAUAUAUAGAAUAGGAAUGAAACCCUUGUUAAAUAUAUAUUUCCCGUCUCAUUGCCUAUAUUUUAACACCAAAUAUGCUUGAUCAUGAUAGUAUGUACAUAUAUGCUAAAUUUGUAACAGUUCUCAGACUGUAUAUAUAGUUAUUAAAAUCUUUCUCUAUUUGCCUCCAUUUUACAAUACUCAAACUCUUGUUGUAGCUAGUUUCUUUGGUGGUUGUUUUUGUACCUCAACUUAGUGGCACUAUACAAAGUGUUUUCACUUGAGAUUAAGAUUUUGAUGCGUAACUUUUUAGUUAUUCUUCUUUUUGUGAUUAAUGUUAGAUUACAGCUUAAGACGUUUCUAAACUCGUAACAAAGGUAUAUUCAUGUAAUCAUGGACAACACCAAUUAGGAUUAGAGCACCUUCAUCCUGAAAUGACAAACCCACUUUAGCUUGGCUUGUCCUCGCUGGAGAAUGCUGACAACAUUUAGCCUUGUGAUGUUGAAGUAUGAACCUAAGAUUUUGGCUUAUAUUCUGUGUAACACUGAUUUAGCUUAGUGAAAAGGAGGUAGUCAAUUGUCAUAGGGAGCAGUUUGAAAUUGACUUUCAUUGGCUGGCAAGGUAAAUUGUAUAUAGAUAACUCUAUGAGAAUGAUAUUGUGAAUUCAGAGAUUAGAGCACUACAGUUUUAGUUUUACAUUUUAAGUAAAAAAAAAAAAUUACACACAUGUAUAUGCAUGGAUAGGAUAAUGAAAUAUGAUGGAAUGAGAAUUAAAAGCUAAAACAGAC